rnacentral:rRNA from 1 species
GACGAACGCUGGCGGCGUGCCUAAUACAUGCAAGUCGAACGCUUUUUCUUUCACCGGAGCUUGCUCCACCGAAAGAAAAAGAGUGGCGAACGGGUGAGUAACACGUGGGUAACCUGCCCAUCAGAAGGGGAUAACACUUGGAAACAGGUGCUAAUACCGUAUAACACUAUUUUCCGCAUGGAAGAAAGUUGAAAGGCGCUUUUGCGUCACUGAUGGAUGGACCCGCGGUGCAUUAGCUAGUUGGAGAGGUAACGGCUCACCAAGGCAACGAUGCAUAGCCGACCUGAGAUGGUGAUCGGCCACACUGGGACUGAGACACGGCCCAGACUCCUACGGGAGGCAGCAGUAGGGAAUCUUCGGCAAUGGACGAAAGUCUGACCGAGCAACGCCGCGUGAGUGAAGAAGGUUUUCGGAUCGUAAAACUCUGUUGUUAGAGAAGAACAAGGAUGAGAGUAAAACGUUCAUCCCUUGACGGUAUCUAACCAGAAAGCCACGGCUAACUACGUGCCAGCCGCCGCUGUAA